GAUACUGGAAACCACGGUAAGUUUGACCGAACUAAAGAAAUCGGUCAAAAAAUAAUAUACGGCCCUGGUUAUGGUAUGGAAGUGAUAAAUUCCAGACCACAUCGUUCCCUAGGCCAUGCUGACUAACAUUAUUUUCCCUGUAUAAAAACUAAAUCCAGACAGUACCCAGUAUUUGCUUCACAAAUUUUCCGAAAUUUGAACCCCCAUUUUGUGUUUGUUUACAUUCUGCGUAAGUUUUUUUCCGCAUUGAUCGCUUCAAACAAUAACUUCCAGACCACAUCAUACCCUAAGCCAUGCUGACUAACAUUAGUUUGCCUGUAUAAAAACUAAAUCCACAACAGUACCCAGUAUUUGUUUCACAAAUUUUCCAAUUUGGAAUCAAUGCUUGAUAACAUGAAACUCCUAUCUAUUUUCAAAGUUGAAGAAAAAUCGAUGCCGAAAAAAAUGUGGAAAAAAAUCUCCCAAAAUUCAGGGAAUUAAAAUUACACGUCGAUCUUUGUACAAAACCGUAGAUGAACUGUUUACGAAGCAUAAUCACGUGUUUUCACGAAUGUACUAAAGAGAUUUGCUCUGAUAUUCUCAUUUAAAUAUGAAUAGGUAAAUUUGGGCGGCUUUGGGCGGUUUGGUCACAUUAACCAAAAUUUUUUUCUGGCGGCUUUGGUAACGAAAGGGUUAAAACACUCCUUGGGGAAAAAUUGAAGGCUUGUCUAUAUGCUAAUAUUUAUAACAUUAUCUGCUUUGAGUUCCAGCACUUAAAAAAAAGAUGAUUUAUUUCAUAUCUCUUGAAGUUUUGUAAAUUCUUACAACAUAAACUACACACACUGUUGGAUUGGAUUGUUUUCAUGACAGACAUGCUUUCAGUGCCUCAUGGAGUUGGAUGCUGGUGAAUGUCUAUUAACACCAGUGUUAUAGCAAGUUACAUUCCAGUGUAGCCUGUUCUUUAUUUCUAAGAAAGAAAUCACUGCAUGUCACCAUCAAUUUCCAUGCUUUUUCAUACUUCCAUUUAAUAACUUUGAUCUACAUACCGGUUGCUGUAGAAUGGACAAGAAACAUCCUGAUAAGCUGGAUCUGCAAUCUUGUUGCACUUUCCAACAAUAAUCAUUUUCAGUUCUAUAUUUAAGAGAUGAGGAAUUAUGUACAUUAUUUACAUUAUUUACAUUUGACGGAUAUUUGUCCUCAUCUUGUUUGUUGUUAACACGUUUCAGCUGAUAUACCCUCCAACCUUCAUCAGGUGUCUUGGGGAAAUUUUAAACCUGGGUUCUCAUUCCUAAGGUAUUCUUUGUUGUUAUUGUUGUUGUUGAGGCCACUGCUUGGAAUCGAACUCAGAAUCUUGGGGUUAGUAGCCUGCACUCUUAACCACUAUGCCAUAUGCCCAAGAGCACAGGCUUAAUAAUAAUAAUAAUAGUAAUAAUAAUAAUAAUUUGUUUCUUUACUACCCACAAGGGGCUAAACAUAGAGGGGGCAAACAAGGACGGACAAAUGGAUUAAGUCGAUUACAUCGACCCCAGUACGUAACUGGUACUUAAUUUAUCGACCCGAAAGGAUGGACGGCAAAGUCGACCUCGGCGGAAUUUGAACUCAGAACGUAACGGCAGAGGAAAUACGGCUACGCAUUUUGCCCGGCGUGCUAACGAUUCUGCCAGCUCAAAAAAAUAUCAUCAAAAGAUACCUUAGGAAUGAGAACCCAGGUUUGAAAUUUCCCCAAGACACCUGAUGAAGGCUGGAGGGUAUAUCAGCCAAAGCAUGUUAACAACAAACAAGAUGAGGACACAUAUCCGUCAAAUGUAAAUAAUGAACAAUCAUUUUAUUUCACUUAAUGUCCUUUGGAAAUUCAUAAACCACACAACUUCAUUCUUUGAUUUUUCUUUUUUUUCACCUGUAAAUCUGAAGCCAUGUAUCUUGUGUGGAAUCCAUAUCAUAUGCUCAUAUUAUUUCAAAAUUCAGCUUUUUAUUUUUUAUCUGGAACACAAUGCAAAAAAGAAAAAAAAGAAAGAAAGAUAAAGAUUUUUAAUGAAUUAUGUUUCAGUCUUUGUCUGAAUUUUAGAAACAAGGAAUUAUUAUUGCAGACUGAUACCAUCAAACUAGUGUCAUCACGGUUGUACUCUCUUGUCUUC
rnacentral:lncRNA from 1 species